GGGUUGUGAGGUUAAGCGACUAAGCGUACACGGUGGAUGCCUAGGCAGUCAGAGGCGAUGAAGGGCGUGCUAAUCUGCGAAAAGCGUCGGUAAGCUGAUAUGAAGCGUUAUAACCGACGAUACCCGAAUGGGGAAACCCAGUGCAAUACGUUGCACUAUCGUUAGAUGAAUACAUAGUCUAACGAGGCGAACCGGGGGAACUGAAACAUCUAAGUACCCCGAGGAAAAGAAAUCAACCGAGAUUCCCCCAGUAGCGGCGAGCGAACGGGGAGGAGCCCAGAGUCUGAAUCAGUUUGUGUGUUAGUGGAAGCGUCUGGAAAGUCGCACGGUACAGGGUGAUAGUCCCGUACACCAAAAUGCACAGGCUGUGAACUCGAUGAGUAGGGCGGGACACGUGACAUCCUGUCUGAAUAUGGGGGGACCAUCCUCCAAGGCUAAAUACUCCUGACUGACCGAUAGUGAACCAGUACCGUGAGGGAAAGGCGAAAAGAACCCCGGCGAGGGGAGUGAAAUAGAACCUGAAACCGUGUACGUACAAGCAGUGGGAGCACCUUCGUGGUGUGACUGCGUACCUUUUGUAUAAUGGGUCAGCGACUUAUAUUUUGUAGCAAGGUUAACCGAAUAGGGGAGCCGUAGGGAAACCGAGUCUUAACUAGGCGUCUAGUUGCAAGGUAUAGACCCGAAACCCGGUGAUCUAGCCAUGGGCAGGUUGAAGGUUGGGUAACACUAACUGGAGGACCGAACCGACUAAUGUUGAAAAAUUAGCGGAUGACUUGUGGCUGGGGGUGAAAGGCCAAUCAAACCGGGAGAUAGCUGGUUCUCCCCGAAAGCUAUUUAGGUAGCGCCUCGUGAACUCAUCUUCGGGGGUAGAGCACUGUUUCGGCUAGGGGGCCAUCCCGGCUUACCAAACCGAUGCAAACUCCGAAUACCGAAGAAUGUUAUCACGGGAGACACACGGCGGGUGCUAACGUCCGUCGUGAAGAGGGAAACAACCCAGACCGCCAGCUAAGGUCCCAAAGUCAUGGUUAAGUGGGAAACGAUGUGGGAAGGCACAGACAGCCAGGAUGUUGGCUUAGAAGCAGCCAUCAUUUAAAGAAAGCGUAAUAGCUCACUGGUCGAGUCGGCCUGCGCGGAAGAUGUAACGGGGCUAAACCAUGCACCGAAGCUGCGGCAGCGACACUUAGGUGUUGUUGGGUAGGGGAGCGUUCUGUAAGCCGUUGAAGGUGACCUGUGAGGGUUGCUGGAGGUAUCAGAAGUGCGAAUGCUGACAUAAGUAACGAUAAUGCGGGUGAAAAACCCGCACGCCGGAAGACCAAGGGUUCCUGUCCAACGUUAAUCGGGGCAGGGUGAGUCGACCCCUAAGGCGAGGCUGAAAAGCGUAGUCGAUGGGAAACAGGUUAAUAUUCCUGUACUUGGUGUUACUGCGAAGGGGGGACGGAGAAGGCUAGGCUGGCCGGGCGACGGUUGUCCCGGUUUAAGCGUGUAGGGGGAGUGACCAGGUAAAUCCGGUUGCUUAUCAACCCUGAGGCGUGAUGACGAUGCACCACGGUGCAGAAGCAGUUGAUGCCAUGCUUCCAGGAAAAGCCUCUAAGCAUCAGGUAACAUUAAAUCGUACCCCAAACCGACACAGGUGGUCAGGUAGAGAAUACUCAGGCGCUUGAGAGAACUCGGGUGAAGGAACUAGGCAAAAUGGUGCCGUAACUUCGGGAGAAGGCACGCUGGCGUUAGGUGAAAGGACUAGCUCCUGGAGCUGAAGCCAGUCGCAGAUACCAGCUGGCUGCAACUGUUUAAUAAAAACACAGCACUGUGCAAACACGAAAGUGGACGUAUACGGUGUGACGCCUGCCCGGUGCUGGAAGGUUAAUUGAUGGGGUCAGCCGCAAGGCGAAGCUCUUGAUCGAAGCCCCAGUAAACGGCGGCCGUAACUAUAACGGUCCUAAGGUAGCGAAAUUCCUUGUCGGGUAAGUUCCGACCUGCACGAAUGGCGUAAUGAUGGCCAGGCUGUCUCCACCCGAGACUCAGUGAAAUUGAACUCGCUGUGAAGAUGCAGUGUACCCGCGGCAAGACGGAAAGACCCCGUGAACCUUUACUAUAGCUUGACACUGAACAUUGAGCCUUGAUGUGUAGGAUAGGUGGGAGGCCUUGAAGUGUGGACGCCAGUCUGCAUGGAGCCAACCUUGAAAUACCACCCUUUAAUGUUUGAUGUUCUAACUCGGCCCCAUGAUCUGGGGUGAGGACAGUGUCUGGUGGGUAGUUUGACUGGGGCGGUCUCCUCCCAAAGAGUAACGGAGGAGCACGAAGGUUAGCUAAUCACGGUCGGACAUCGUGAGGUUAGUGCAAAGGCAUAAGCUAGCUUGACUGCGAGAGUGACGGCUCGAGCAGGUACGAAAGUAGGUCUUAGUGAUCCGGUGGUUCUGAAUGGAAGGGCCAUCGCUCAACGGAUAAAAGGUACUCCGGGGAUAACAGGCUGAUACCGCCCAAGAGUUCAUAUCGACGGCGGUGUUUGGCACCUCGAUGUCGGCUCAUCACAUCCUGGGGCUGAAGUAGGUCCCAAGGGUAUGGCUGUUCGCCAUUUAAAGUGGUACGCGAGCUGGGUUUAGAACGUCGUGAGACAGUUCGGUCCCUAUCUGCCGUGGGCGUUGGAAGAUUGAGAGGGGCUGCUCCUAGUACGAGAGGACCGGAGUGGACGAAUCACUGGUGUUCGGGUUGUCAUGCCAAUGGCAUUGCCCGGUAGCUAAAUUCGGAAGAGAUAACCGCUGAAAGCAUCUAAGCGGGAAACUUGCCUCGAGAUGAGUCUUCCCUGGGGCUUAAAGCCCCCUGAAGGAACGUUAAAGACUAUGACGUUGAUAGGCUGGGUGUGUAAGUGCAGCGAUGUAUUGAGCUAACCAGUACUAAUGAUCCGUGAGGCUUAACCUUACAACACCGAAGGUGUUU
rnacentral:rRNA from 1 species